rnacentral:rRNA from 1 species
UCCUACGGGAGGCAGCAGUGGGGAAUAUUGCACAAUGGGGGGAACCCUGAUGCAGCGACGCCGCGUGGGUGAAGAAGCGCCUCGGCGCGUAAAGCCCUGUCAGCAGGGAAGAAAAUGACGGUACCUGAAGAAGAAGCCCCGGCUAACUACGUGCCAGCAGCCGCGGUAAUACGUAGGGGGCAAGCGUUAUCCGGAUUUACUGGGUGUAAAGGGGGCGCAGACGGCGAUGCAAGCCAGGAGUGAAAGCCCUGGUCCCAACCCCGGGACUGCUCUUGGAUCUGCGUGGCUGGAGUGCCGGAAGGGCG